GACCAGAGGGUGCAAACGUUGCUCAGGAAUUACUGGGCGUAAAGCGCGUGUAGGCGGGAAGAUAAGUCGGGUGUGAAAUCCCUGGGCCUCAACCUAGGACUGCAUUCGAAACUGUCUUUCUGAGUGAAUGGAGAGGAAAAAGCGGAAUUCCCGGUGUAGGAGGUGAAAUUCGUAGAUAUCGGGAGGAACACCCCAGUGGCGAAGGCGUCUUCUGGCCGAUCAACUGACGCUGAGACGCGAAAGCGCUGGGGAAGCGAACAGG
rnacentral:rRNA from 1 species